rnacentral:rRNA from 1 species
GUUGAACGCUAGCGGCAGGCCUAACACAUGCAAGUCGAAGGGUAGAAGCUUUCGGGCUUUGAGACCGGCGCACGGGUGCGUAACGCGUAUGCAAUCUGCCUUGUACUGAGGGAUAGCCCAGAGAAAUUUGGAUUAACACCCCAUAGUAUUUUAGUGUGGCAUCACAUUAUUAUUACAGGUUACGGUACAAGAUGAGGAUGCGUCCCAUUAGCUAGUUGGUAUGGUAACGGCAUACCAAGGCUAAGAUGGGUAGGGGUCCUGAGAGGGAGAUCCCCCACACUGGUACUGAGACACGGACCAGACUCCUACGGGAGGCAGCAGUGAGGAAUAUUGGUCAAUGGUCGAAAGACUGAACCAGCCAUGCCGCGGGCAGGAUGAAGCAUCUAUGGUGUGUAAACUGCUUUUGUACGGGAAGAAACACCGCUACGUGUAGCGGCUCGACGGUACCGUAAGAAUAAGGAUCGGCUAACUCCGUGCCAGCCGCCGCGGUAAUAC